CAAACCGCACACUGUUAUCAACACCCAUAGCCGCAUAAGCACCUGAAUAAUUUACAUUCUCUGUAUUAGUAGGAGCUAAAGAACCACAGAGAACGCGAGUCCUCUGAAGCUCAAUGUGAGGAGGCAACUUCCCCUUUGGCAAGUCCGGCAAAUCCCAUACUGAAACCUUUGUGAAGGUCUCCUCUUGUGUUGAUGUGCCUUCGGAAUCCAUGCUCUCGUUCUCUGUUGCGGUGCCCAUGAUUAGGGUUUAG
rnacentral:misc_RNA from 1 species